AGAGUCAGGAAAAAUUAUUAGACGAGUAGGAAAUUUUAGACAAAAAAUGCUCCGGACCCCCAGUUUAGAGCACCCCUAGCUGAUGUGUAAAAGUCACGUGAUAUGCACGUGUGUCAAUUAUCCCACAGUUGAGAAUUCAAAAUUUCCCUAAACACAAACAGAUCUUUCUUCCUGUGUAACCUUGACUCCAACGAUCGAGAGGGCAACACAACUCAUUCCAUUCACUCCGAGCGACAAACUCUGUCCUUCCCUCGACUCUGACGCCAGACUCCCGACACCGGAUUCUCGACUCUCUCUGUCUCUGCUUCCCUCUCAUCCAACCAAGUACAAUUAAGAGAAUAUGGAGGUCAUCAAAUUCCAAGAGAAGAAGUGCCAACUGUCGGCGAACAAGUUAUGAACGAACAACUUUGAGCCAUGACCGAACAACAAAGAGAGAUGACGGAACAACUUCAAAUUCAGAGCACAAAGAUGCAAAAGUUGAUAUAUAUAUUUAUAUAUAUAUAUAUAUAU